rnacentral:rRNA from 1 species
GACGAACGCUGGCGGCGUGCCUAAUACAUGCCAGUCGAGCGAAGUUUUUCUGGUGCUUGCACCGGAAAAACUUAGCGGCGAACGGGUGAGUAACACGUAAAGAACCUGCCUCAUAGACUGGGACAACUAUUGGAAACGAUAGCUAAUACCGGAUAAUAGCAUUAACUGCAUGGUUGAUGUUUAAAAGUUGGUUUUGCUAACACUAUGAGAUGGCUUUGCGGUGCAUUAGCUAGUUGGUGGGGUAAAGGCCUACCAAGGCGACGAUGCAUAGCCGACCUGAGAGGGUGAUCGGCCACACUGGGACUGAGACACGGCCCAGACUCCUACGGGAGGCAGCAGUAGGGAAUCUUCCGCAAUGGGCGAAAGCCUGACGGAGCAACGCCGCGUGAGUGAAGAAGGAUUUCGGUUCGUAAAGCUCUGUUGUUAGGGAAGAAUGAGUGUGUAGUAACUAUACACAGUAGAGACGGUACCUAACCAGAAAGCCACGGCUAACUACGUG